GACGAACGCUGGCGGCGUGCUUAACACAUGCCAGUCGAACGGAAAGGCCCUGCUUGCGGGGUACUCGAGUGGCGAACGGGUGAGUAACACGUGGGUGAUCUGCCCUGCUCUUCGGGAUAAGCCUUGGAAACUGGGUCUAAUACCGGAUAUGACCUUCCAUGUAGUGUGGGGGGGGGAAAGAUUUAUCGGUGUGGGAUGAGCCCGCGGCCUAUCAGCUUGUUGGUGGGGUAAUGGCCUACCAAGGCGUCGACGGGUAGCCGGCCUGAGAGGGUGGACGGCCACAUUGGGACUGAGAUACGGCCCAGACUCCUACGGGAGGCAGCAGUGGGGAAUAUUGCACAAUGGGCGGAAGCCUUAUGCAGCGACGCCGCGUGGGGGAUGACGGCCUUCGGGUUGUAAACCUCUUUCGACAGGGACGAAGCUUCGGUGACGGUACCUGUAUAAGAAGCACCGGCUAACUACGUG
rnacentral:rRNA from 1 species